rnacentral:tRNA from 1 species
ACCUGGCUGGCUCAGCCAGUGGAGCAUCAGACUGUUGAUCUCAGGGUUGUGAGUUCGAGCCCCCUGUUGGGUG